rnacentral:rRNA from 1 species
GAUGAACGCUGGCGGCGUGCCUAAUACAUGCAAGUCGAGCGAACGGACGAGAAGCUUGCUUCUCUGAUGUUAGCGGCGGACGGGUGAGUAACACGUGGAUAACCUACCUAUAAGACUGGGAUAACUUCGGGAAACCGGAGCUAAUACCGGAUAAUAUUUUGCACCGCUUGGUUCAAAAGUGAAAGACGGUCUUGCUGUCGCUUAUAGAUGGAUCCGCGCUGCAUUAGCUAGUUGGUAAGGUAACGGCUUACCAAGGCAACGAUGCAUAGCCGACCUGAGAGGGUGAUCGGCCACCCGGGAACGGAGACAGGGUCCAGACACCUACGGGAGGCAGCAGGAGGGAAUCUUCCGCAAUGGGCGAAAGCCUGACGGAGCAAGCCCGCGUGAGUGAUGAAGGUCUUCGGAUCGUGAAACUCUGUUAUUAGGGAAGAACAUAUGUGUAAGUAACUGUGCACAUCUUGACGGUACCUAAUCAGAAAGCCACGGCUAACUACGUG